CGCAGGCGGGCUGAGCUCACACUCCUGGGAAGCGGCGGCGGCGGAGCCGGGGUCCGCAGCGGCUGCGCAUCGCGCGCCUCUCGCUGGGCGCUUGGGGGCUGCAAGGUGGGCUGCGCGGUCCCCCGGGAGGGAGGAGGCUGCCAGAGAGGAACUGCAAAUGACAGAGCAGAGGGACUGCUGGCCCAGCCAAUCCCGGAGCCGCUGCAGCACUUGUUCCCCAAACAAACAUGUUCUGGUGCAAGGACAGAGAGGAGGGGGCUGCUGGCUCCCAGGUCCUCCCGGGACCCUGGCCCCCUUGCUGCUUCGCACUGGAGGGGCAGCCUGGCUUAGGCUGCCGGGACAGAGGCUGCUGGUGGGCUGGGGCAUGAUGGCUGCAGCCCCUCCCUGCUGCCCCGCCUGGGAAGAAGAAUGCAGAGCCAGGCAAGUCUCUCUGUGUGUCCUCUGGGGUGAAAGGAGCAGGUGUAGACAGGCUGGGGCAGCAGGGCCUGGUGCUGCUUUGGCAUUGGUGGUGAAAGGCCUGUACCUCCAGCCCCUUGGGUUUGCUUGCACCCCUGGCCCGUCCCUGGCACUCACCCCUGCAUCCAUGUGCUUAUUGGUGCUACCAUGUUAUAUAACGCUUAUAUAAUCUCCCAGGGCGAGCGCUGUGUCUCCGCUCUCAGGUCACGCCGACACUGUGUCCCUGUGGGAGGCAGGAUCUGUGGAAGCUUGCGGGUGGACCUUCUCCCCCAUACUCAGCCUGGCUCCUCUGCCUGAUCCCAGGUCCCGGAGGGCGAAUGGGAGAUCAGGGGCCCAUCCAUACCAGCCGUUUGGGGCGAAGAAAGAGGAGGUGAUUGGGCGGCUUCCUCGCUGUCUUGCUUCACGAGGCCCCCCUUGCCCAGUGAACCGUCUGGUGGAGUGGUUGCCAUCUUUGAGUUUUGAGGCCUGCGUUUCAUCUUGGGGGCCCCCUGGCAUGGCGGAUGGGUGUGGUGAUAUGGACCCCAGAUGUCGCAGUGAAAGAAUACAUGCCUUGGCACUGCCCUCCGGCUCUCCAGGGGAAAAGCUGCAGUUCUGCUCUUGCAACACAAGGAGCAGACUGGAGAAUUUAGAUCUGCGUCACAGAGCUCAGAGAGAGAGAGGAGAGAGAGAGCGCUCCGUCGAUAGGUCUGCUAGCAACAGCCGUGCUGCAGCAGAGAGAGAGAGAGAAAUCAAGAAACAAGUCAUAGCAACACCGGGCACCAGGUUCUGCCAGCUCACUUGCCAAGCGUUCAGAAAUCUGUCGGGGGCUGGAGGCCUCUGGGUAGCCCGGGCUAAGGAGAUGACACGCAAGUGUCAGCUGCUCAAGCCUGACGGGGUAGAGGAGAGAGGAGCAAGCUGUCCCUGGCGUCCCACCUGACCUCCCAGCCUUUGCCCCCAUUUCCUUCUAUUGGACAGACAGACUGGUUUCCCAGUUCACAUGUGAUGGCCUUCCUUGUACUGCUGCAUCAUUAACUAAGUGACUGAGCUGGCCUUCCAUUGGCCAGGGGAGGGCUCUCACUCCAGACAUUUCUUCUGAUUGGUGGGCGGGCCAAUGGCAGGUGAAAACCUUUUUUUGAUUGGUUGAGGGCAGGGUAUCAAAUCUUAAUUUGCAUUUCACUUGCUUAAAGGGGAGGGGGGAGAAACCCAGCAGCUUUCUAAAAUCUGUUUAGGGGUGUGCGUAUGCUCCUGUGUCAGUGCCUGCUUCUGACUGACCAGUUGAAGCCUCUUGCUCUGCCUUUCUUACUUCAUGCACUCUAAGGAAGAGGAGCUCAGGGUUCCCCAAACUUUUUUUUGAAGGAGGAAGGGUUGGAGAGAUGGGUGCGCAGAGAGUCGACCAAACUGGAAGGAGGUAUCUGUCCCUUAGUUUGGUGUUGGAAAAGGGAUUUUUCGGUCUGCCACACCUCAUUGUUGCGGCAAAAUAAUUCUUGCUCCCCUGGAAACGCACGGGCAAGGUAGGACAGAGCUGCUGCUGCUGCUGACACUGCCACCACCAUGGGCUUCCUGCUGCCUCUGGGCUACUCCCCGGGGACCAGAGAUUUGCAUUGACGGGGCUGUCCAGAGCUGAGCCUAGUGUGGGAAGGACCUGCCUUCUGGAAGCUGCUGCUCCCUGGUGCCGGGAAAGGUGAGGAUGAGAACCAACCCCAGGGGGUUGCUCAGAAACUGCGUAUUUGGUGGGAUUUCCAGGAAGGCAGCUGGACCUCGAGAGGUUUGGAGGUCCCAGGUUAGAAAGGUUUGUCGUUCUGGGGAGUGAGGAGAGUGAGAGCAAAACUAGGGCAGCAGGCUGUUCGCCUGUGACUGGGGGAGGAAGACUUGGAAAAAUCAGGGUCCUGGCUCCCCGUCGGGUCCUUGUGGGAGGUCUCGUGUUUGUGGGGAGGGGGUUUCUGAGCCCUGCGCCUUGCGCAGUGGCCCCCGCCCGUGACUGCGCAUCGGGGAACGCAGUGCGCCCUGGGUCGCCGGCCUAGGACAGCACCGCCCUUCUUAUUACAUAACGGAGGCACGGCUGUGCCUUCUCGGCCCUUCUUUGCAACCCUGCCUCUGGCUCCCCAGGGCCCACAGAGCUGGGGAGGGUCUGGUAGGGAGCAGUGGAAGACUUUGCUCCCUCAGAGGGUUCCCUCUUGUCCAGCCAGUGGUAGGAGCUAGGUUUGAAGACAGAAUGGGUGCUCUCCCCCUUCUUGGAGUGUUGAACGUAGAAUGUCCUUCUGGAUGUCCUGUGUCACCCAUGGACCCCAGAACCUCCCGGGGGCACGGGGUGAUGCCCUUCUUGCCCUCUUACGCUCUCUGGGUUUUUAGAGGAAGUUUCUGAUGGGAAAGACGUGACAGUUGUAAGAGUGAGGAAGGGUGGGGAGUGCCCAGUCAGGAGGGAGUUCACAGUUCAUUCCCCUUGUCACUGGCUUGCCUUUCCUUGGGUGGGUUGAUAAUAUUUUUGGACUACUUUUUAUCCUAAGGCUGCCAUUUUGGAGGCAUUUCUGCUGGUCUCUGACAUGGUGGCGUUGGUUUUUCUGGUCCUGCUGUGCCAGUUCCGCAGAGUGGGCGGGGGGCGGGGGCUAUGACGGAGGAGGGGAAGGGGGGGCAAAAACGCAGCAGAGGCGGGCACAGUGGUGGCUGCCGCAGUGAAGGUGGCCCCAGGGGCAGGACCGCCCAGUCCCACCUUCGAUCACAGCCUUGGGUGGGGGUUCUUCUUCCGGGGGUCUGGGGUUGGCCGAACGGUGGGUGUUGCACACGGAAGGCCUAGGUUUCCCAUGCCCUCCUCGGCUUGAGGCUUAAAGCAGUCCAGAGGAAAAGCUGUUUUGGGGAGGGGGGAGAGUGAAGGCAGAGAUAUGGCUGCUGAGAUGUGUCAGACCUGUGGUUUGUGUUCCCCAAAUAGGCUCUGUCUCCGGCAGUCUCUCUAUGGGGACGGAGUGGGGGGGGCGGUCCAAGGCAGAUUUGUUUGAUGGCCCUCCCUUUUUAUUGUUUUUCUUCUCUGCUCCUUGUCAUGCCCCCUGCCAGUGCCAUGGUUCCAGCUGUAGUCCUCCAGUGAGGCUCCCUGCUGCCCGUCCCUCUCCUCUCCAGGCCCUUCUGCGUGCAGCGGCCAUCUUGUCUUUUCUUGCUUAGAAAUUUAAAAUGGUUUCUCAUCGUUUCCAGAAUAAAAUUCCUCCUCUGUAGCACGAUGCUGAAGGCUGUCUGUAACCAGCCUUAGCUCUCCUGUUCAGUCUGACGUCUCUGCGUUUCCCCAGGUAGACCACGUAUUCCAGCAAAACCAGGCAACUCACUUUUUCUUGCUUUUCCGACCUCUCUGUAUGCACCACUGGUAUUUUCCAUGACUCUUUGGCUCUACCGCACCCACCUGCGGCAGCCUGCCGUCCUCUGUGGACCUUUGCGGAUCCCCUUCACGAGAAGCCAUCCUCGGAACCACCCCUGGGUCCCUCCGGCCAAGCUCUCAUACACUUCAUCCUUCUUAGAUGCUUCUUUGGUUAUCGUCUGGCUCUUUGUGUGUAAGUCCUACGGUCACCUAUUAGAUGGUGAGCUCCCAGAGGCCGGGAAACAAAGAAGGAAAGCACUUACCUAUUUGGUGCCUUCCGUUUGCCAGGUACCAUGUUGGGCGAUUUCUCAGAACUUGUUUCAUGUAUCUUUUUCCCGCAGCGCUGCGAGGGAGCGUCUGAUGUCCGGUAAGUGCUCUGCUCACGAUUAGAACUCCUGAUCUCUCCAGAGUCUUUGCAUUAUUUUACCUAUCAGUUCUCUGUGUCUGCAAAAUGCCUCUUACGAGGUAGAUCCCCAGAACUUGUCUAUUUAAGGAAUUUUGUACAUCCCUAAUGCUGUAUGGGGUUUGGGUGGCCAACCUUCCUGAGCCCAGCUUCUGGGUCUUUUAGUCAUUCCGUGCUACCCUCCCUGUUACCCUCUUAACUUUCUCCUCUUCCUUUGUGGUCAGGUUCAUGCAAGAUGAUGGCUUUAUUUUUUUUUAUUUUAUUUUUUUUGUGGUAGCUGCAGUUGGUGGAUUAACAGCCUUCAGUUAUCCUGGUCCCCUUCCUCCUAGCGGAGGAGGUGGAGGUGGGAUGGUUGUAGCACCUUCAGAGCAGAAGGAGCUCCAGGACCCAGAAUCAGUGGACCUCAUACAAGGCAGGAAGCAGAGCCGUUGCACUUGGACUGCCCUAGGUUUGCAUCUUGACCCUGCCUCGUCUUUCUGGAUGGUUCUUCUAGGGCUUUGUGAUGUCAGUCAGUGACAGGGAGCCACCAUAAUCUACUACACAGAAAUGCCUAUUAUAUUGCCAAGCACAUAGGAUCCCUGCAGGAAGUGAUGCACGUCCCUUUCCCCUGCCCAGCUAUCUUAUCGGGGCCUUUAGAAGGGACCAUAGCAGGUGGCUGGAGAAGGAAUGGGGGAAAAGGAGCUUGAAUGCCUUCAGGGGUAUUGGAAGGCAGAGGAGGAGGUAACCAGGCAGUCCACACCUGAAACCCAUGAGGGGGUGCCUUCUCCCACCUGUAGUAAAGACCCCUUUGACGUCUGCAUCGGGGCAGCGUUGUGGGAGCGGAGCCGUGAGGACAGGGUGGGCAGUGGCAGAGUGAGGGUUAACGAGUGGUCCUUCCGGGGAGCCUCGUGAUGCCAGGUUAGUUUCCCUUCUUUCUGAUGGCAGUGGUGGCUGCCUGCUUCCUGAUGCCGUUGCAUCCCGUGGGAGGGGAGCUGGGCACCCUGGAACCCCUCAUCACCAAUUCUGGGGCUGCAGAACAGAGAGUGACGACAGCCCAUGAGUCGUCAGCCGACGGCAGUGGGGACCCUGGUGACGACUGCUUUGUUGUUUUUUUCCUCUUUGGAUGAUGACUCAGUAUGUCGGGAGCUGGGAGAUGGAGCGCUCAGCCGAGUAGCCAGGGCGUUCUGUCAACAUGAAAGCAGCAAGAACAGCUUGUCAGGGCUUGGAGCUGACCCCGGGGCUGGGGUCAUUUUCAGGAAGGGAUUGGCAGAGAAGACCACUUCUGGGCAUCGGGUUGGGGGUGACACCGGGUAUCCCAACGGGGCUCUGUGGAGUCUUGAAUUUUAGAAACCAAACAGAAAAUGCAGCUGCUCGUGUUAUUAUUAUUAUGUGCUUGGCAAACAGAGCCACUUUUCAACCUCCUCUCACUCUUCCGCAACAAGAGGCAUCUUCUCGGGGCCAGAAAACCCUUUGGGAUUUCUCUCUGUGGCCUGGAUAGAGGGUGAGUCCCAUCUCGGGUAUGGUGGGCCUUACAAUCCCUAGUGAGCCCUGGCCUUCAGGGGCCCCAGGAGGAAGUGCCCAUCACGGAGAUGUGGCAUCUUAAGUGUCCUCUGCUGGUGUCACAUGAAGAUCCCAGGUCCGCAUCACCAGCCUCGAGCUGAAGACUAGCCCUUGGGCAGUCUGCUUUAACCUCCCCUUGCCUUAUUUCCCAAAUCAGACUUUUCCCCUCCCCUUGCAUCUUCCUCGGUUCCUUCUUAGGAGAAACAGUGGGCCUCGAGCCCUUGACCUUUGUGCUUGUGUAUGUGCGUCAUCAUGGCAGCUCAGGGUUCCAGGCUUUUCUCGAAUCUGCAGCAUUGCGCCAAGCGCACGUCAAGUGCGCGUGACAUUCCCCCCUUGCCCCGCCCGCCAGGCCCCGCCCAACCGUGUCCAACCAUGCCCAGCAGUGCCUUCUCGGGAGCAAGAGAGACCUGGACCUCCAUUGCCACCGAAUCGCAGGCAAGCCAUUGCCCUCAGCAUCUGGCUUCCCUUCUCUCCUGUUCUGUCUCCCUCGGCCAUGGCUGGGGACAGAGAAGCCAACAACUUGUGGGUGGAGAUUGAGGGAUGGCACGGUCUGGGGCCACCUGGCCUAUGCAUCCCUUGUGCCAUUUUUCAGCCGCAUGCUUUCCUUAGAUGAUGCUUAGCACUGACGUUUGUCACUGAGCACCUCCUCCUCUCCCCCAAGGACCUGCGGGCAUGACUCAUUUGGGAUCUUUUCAGGGAGUGGCUUUGGGGACUUGGGAGCCAGAGGGAGCAGGGAGACCUGGCUGAGGUCACUGUGGAGAGGUACACAGGGCAAAGGACAGGAGCCAGCUGUCCCUGCCCAGAGUGCAAAGGCAGCCCCAGCCCCUUUGUGUCAUGUCUUUUGAGCCUGAAUAGAGAGCAACCUGACCUAAAAAAAAUUGUAUGUAUGUGGUUGUUAGAUCCUUUGUGUCUUUGUCCAGAAGCCGUGCAUAUGAUGAGAGCCCAGAUUCUGUACUUCAGAGAGCUCUGUUGUCUCUCAGAUUUGUUUUCCAAAAGAGACGGUAGGCCCUCCUUGAUGAGGCCCAGUGCCCACUGGGACUGGCCUUUCUUCAGGACAAGGGGCCCAACCUCGUCUCGUUUCUGCCAUUGACGGGUGAUCAGCUGCUGAGGGCUAGGGUCCCAGGGCCACAUAUCAGCCCCAAACGGGACCCCGAUCUGGGCCCAUGCAAAACAUCACUCGGUUGGUGGGCCCUGAGAGCCGAGCCUACUGUCUCCUUUUCACUUCUUCCCCGCAGAGAACUCAGGCAAGCUGAGCGAUGUGAGUAGGUGACAGCCUCUUGGAGACUCAUGCUAACUGAGGACGGAGCCGUAUGCAGAAGACGGCCGUCAGAGGCCCAAUGGAAUGGCCCGUUUGCAUUUAUUUGGAGCAAAAGAAAGGAGAGGCCUGUCAGCCCGGCUCUGCAGGUACUGUGGAGCCACCAGUGUCUGUGGUUCUGUGAUUCCAAGGGCCGACGACCGACCGACGGACGGGGACAUGAUCCGGUCUUAUCAGUGAAUCAUCUCCAGGCUGCUUACUGGAAACCAGAGGGUGCAAGAAAAUGGGAUUUAACCGCUUUGCUGCCUCCCAGGUCAGUCAGGUGUGGGCUACUGCGUCUGGCCUACCCGCAGCCCCCUUCCUUCUCAUGGCGACCAUUUUCCUUAGUCAGUAGGGAAUCCUCAAACAUCUCCAUUCAGAAUCUCCCAAACAAUGCCCUCUUCUUUCCAUUCUCCCACUCCUGGCUUUUCUGUGAAUGGUGUUCGUAACCAGCAAGGGCCUGGGGGAAGGGCGGGCCCAGGCGAUCAUGUGGGAGAUGGCUGGGAUGUGUUGCUGGGUGUGGCAGUCAGUUAGCCAACCGGUGUGGCCUCCCUCAGUGACGGGUCUAGAACUCGCCUUGGCCCCCAACAUCCAGAAUGAGUUUCUGGGUUAGAGCCCUUUAGGUGCCGGGGGCCUGCCGGCCUUCCCUUCCUUGUGUACCCCAGUGGGUGCUCGCUUUUACUCUAGAUCCCUUUAGACUCGCUGGAGUUUAGAGUGUGGGCUUGGUGGUGGGCUUCAGGGCCUACUUGGGGGUGGGGUUGUUUUGGGGCUUUUUGUUUGUUUGUUUAAGUGAGUGAAUCAACUUUCUUCCUCUGGGCCCUUAUGGCCUUCACCUUAAAAAAAAAAAAAAAUUCUGGGCCCAGUAAGCAUUGCACAGCAUCUUUAAGCAGUUAAUGUAGAAAUCUUUUUUCUCUGCCUCACUUGAUGCUGGUCACAGCAAUAGCGAUGGUGAUUAAAAAUGAAAAUGGUCAGCAGAACCAGGACGGGAGCGGGGGUCAUCUGUCAUGUUCUAGAGACAGCUCAGGAAGUGGAUUGUGGGUGCUCACCCUUCUCCCGAGGAGGACGUCUCUCCUAUGGAAGGCAUUCCUGCAGUGUUCUGGGUGAGCAGGGUCAGGUUGGAACAGCACGUUUGUCUGGGGUCUCCAGAUAAAAGGAAUGGUGCUGGGCAGUUUUAGGAUAUGCUUGGCUAAUUUCUGGAGGCACCCCUGGGAUUCCACCUCUGCUCUUGCCUCACGGAUGUCUCCCCACCCGCCUCCCACCGCUGUCCAGGAGGGACUGGCGAAUUCUGCCUGUCCGUGUGUCGUCUUCUCUUCUCUCCGUUAGAGAUGAGUCUGAGCUGGCGGUGAGCAGCCCGAGGUCCUCAUCAAGUGAGGCAUCCAGGGCCGUUGGGGAGAGCCCGGGUUCUCUCUCCUAAAGGAAUCUGACAAGUCUUAGCCCCUCCAGCAGUAACGUAGGGAGGCAUGUUGGGGUGUUGGGCAUGGAGCACGAAUAAAAAGGAGAGAUGAGCUUGGGUGCAGCUGGGGAGAUGAGGUUGAGACGGCCAACUCCCUCAAGACGUGCCGGCUAGAGUCCGGCCAGCGCUGACUGCCGGGCCGGGGCCAGCUGGGGCCAUGGGCCGUGCUCGGGCACCCCUGCUCCCGUAUGUGCGAUGCAGACCUGGGCCUGGCUUGGGGUCACCCCCGCUCCCAUGCACAGCCCUGCCCUGCCCUUGGCGGGAUUGAGAUAACCAGAAUGGGAAGCAAAGGGAAAGUUGGUUUGGCUCCCUGUGACGCAGUUGUCUCUGGGGCCUCUGGUGUUCCCAGAAUUGGAGGGCAGGGGGGGAUGGGGGGGACACAUCGCCCUGAUGAUUUUCCUAUUUUCGAUCCUCAUUUAGUCUUUUCCUCCCUGCUUACCAGUCUGGCUUCCACUGACAUGACACGGGCAUUAUGUCACAAGCCAAGCCAGAACAGUUGGCAUCCCCUGAGAGAGGGACCAGGCCUCUCUGGCACUUGGCUCUCAACCCUUGAAGUCCCUGUGGUCCAGAAGCCAGGAGGCGGUGUGGGGCCUUUCCGUCUGGGGUCCAACAGAGGUGAACGGAGCGGGUGGCGCUGGAGCUGUGGUGGUGUGGCUUGGCCAGGAGGUGUCGGGGAGGGGCCCUGCCAGGGGGCCUGAUUGGUCAGCACCUGCUCUGUCCCACUGAAUCCUGGUCUGGUCAGGGCUGUGAACUGUCUAAUGCAUAUCUUGGCUCUGUCUCCUGGCACGAGGGCCUCUGAGGCUGCAGCCCCCGUUUUAGAGAGGAUGUGUAUCUUGCACUGGUCACUGUUUUGGGCACGUUGCCUCCCUGGAAGAUAUGUAAGAGAUACUGCCUUUUCCACUAGCCGGCUGUCCGUGGGAGGCCCUCAUUUUGCUUUGCUUUUCUGGGCCUUGGAGUGUCUGUGAAGAAAGCAGAGGCUGGGGUUGGUUCCUUGCUGGCUUCUUCCGCGGGAGCUGCUCGUGAGCUGAUAAAGCCAGAGAACACCUCCAGGCCCCAAGAUCUGUGCAGAGCAUGAUACAGUAGUGUGGCACCUGAGCAGGUGAAACAGGGGCCUGGGGAUGGAGAGAGGCACUCAGGGAACAGUUGUGCACCAUCUGAACACAGGACCGAGGCCAGGAUCCAGGGGUGAGGGUGAGGGUAUGUCUCGUGUUCAACCAGCGUGGCCCUCUGCAGCCUGGAAGGGACCUGUGUGUGCAUGGAGCCCAGGUCAGGAUCUGUAAUGAGGCGUGGAGGUGUGAGACAGGCAUCCCAGUGAGUCCCAGGGAAGGGAAACUCACCUUCGUUAAGGGUCUCCAUUGGUUAUCUGAUUUCAUUCUUAGAGCAACCCCAUGAAGUAGGGGUGACUUCCCGUUUUCUGUUAAAGAAACGGUCCAUAUUAAGUGACUUCACCAAGGUCACACACUUGGCCAGUGGGAACACCAAGACUUAAACCCAGGCACCUCUGAUUCCAAAGCCUGUAUUUUCUCUUUACCCUCUUGGAUGACUUCAGACAUUUGGGGGAGCUAAUAAGACUGUCCAAGAUAAGGCAGCCAGCAGAACGGAUGGUGAGCAGAGUGAAAGGCUGGGUAUCUCGGGGAAGGUGGCAGUGGGCGGUGACGGCUGUGCUCCCUCCCUCUUGGGGGAGGCCGAGCAGAAGCAGCUGGCUGUCGGCGCCCGCGAACAGACAGGGCCAAGCGUGGCAGAUGCAGCCCUUCUCCAGACCCCCAUUCAGCCCCUGCUCUCAUGAGGUGUGCUCUCUGGUGUGGGGAGAGGCCAUUCACGAUGAUGACAGAGGGAGUUGGGAAAUCUGCAGAGCAGGCAUAGAUGGACAGGGGGACACCCACACGCAUCAGAAGGGUCCAGUGAUCCAGAUGGUGGCCAAGGAGGGAAUUUAAGAGGCUGGGGAAGCCAGACUGAUGGAGCCCCCAGAGUUCACAGUGAUGGAGGGGCUAACCCCUCUCUUGUCCUAACAGCUAGAAAAUUACCCAGGGUCCCCACGGCUUAUAAGAACUUGCAGUCAGGGAUCAAGACAGCAGUAGAUCUCGAGCCUCUGGUCACCAGCAGACGAAGGUUUUUCUGUCAGCCACCCUCCCCAGGUGCCAGCUGGUGGCUCUGCUGCAGCCUUGUCCCUGUGCCCCUCUGUCAUCCACACAGAUAGGGGAACACUCGGGUUAAGUCUUCAGCGAGUCACUGCGAAGUAGGUGCCUGUGAGAGGCGGAAGUCAGCCCAGCCUCUCCGGCCCGAGUCUGGGGUUCCCACAUCCUCAUGAUAGAGAAAGGGCAGGGGGCAACAGAGGGAGAAGUCCCCGUGUGCCGGAGGCUUGGAUGAGUUGGGUGUCUUGAGAGGUUGAGGCAGGUUGGUGGCUGAAGGUGUUUCCAGUAUGGGGGAGGGUGUUUCUGGUGUAUGCCGCUGCUGGGCUCAGGGCUGGUUUACAGGGUAGACCUGGGGUUCGUGGUGUGUCUGGCCAUGUGAUUCUUCCUUCUUGGGCCCCAUGAUCUAAGCCUGGCCCUCCUAGACCUCAGAGGAUGCCACCUGCUGCUGAGGGGUGGGGGAGCUGAUAUUGCCCAAGGAUGAGGUGUGGGUCUUGGGGUGUGGUUGUGGGGACUCAGGGAAACUGGGCCUUAUGUGGUGUGGUGUAGAAGACUCAGCAGGCCCGCAUUCUGGCCCUGGCUCCCUUGGUAAAAUCUUACUCACUUUAUGUAUUUGGGACUCAGUUUCAUUAUUUAUAAAUUGAGGGAGUUGAACCAGAACCUUUUAGAAAGCACCUUGCCAGCUCUGAUGCAGGGGUUCCCUGGAUGUUUCUGGAGGUAUUUCUCAGGCAGAAGACUGAGAACAGCUACAAUCCUGUCUUCUGAAGAGAUGCUGUCCCCAUCCGUGAGGCCAGGCGGAUGGAGACAGUUUGCCCUGGACCCCCGGCUGCAAGCAGAAAGCGGCCAGAGAUUACAUGAGGGUGACUGAUGGAGGAAGGUCAUCCAGGUGACAGAGGACGUGAACUCUGGCUCCCACCUAGGGGCUUGUGUGCAGACAAGGUGAUGUGGGAGCUGCUGGGGGCUCUCUGUGUCACAGGGUCUAACUGGAGAUGCCGCUGUGCUCUAUGAAAGAAAUUCUGGGCUUUCUGGUCUUAAAUCCUAGAGAGAACGUGGGACUGCGGGUCCGGUGUCCCAGACUUUCCCUCUUCAGGGUCUGGGCCCCUUGCUGUCAGAAGAUUUCCUUUAUAUGUAGCCGUCUAUUCUCAUGUAGUUGUUGAAGCUCUUCUAUUUAAAAAAAAAAAUAAAAAAGGAAAAGGAAAAGAAAAAAGACAGGCGAAAAGAAAAAAACAAAAAUAAAAAUAUCUCCAAGCCACCCAUUCCAUUUUGACUUUUUAGUCCCGAGUCACUCUUCAAAAAGUAGCAAAAAUAAAGCACGUGCAGGCAAGCUCAGGGUCACGGGCCCUCACAGGCCAGCCUGGGACCGUGGUGGCCUUUGUCUCCAGUGGCCAGCCCUGCUCUGAGACUGUGUGGGUGGGGUUGGGGUUGGGGCUGGGGCUGCGGAUACCUGCCACACAAGCCACCAAACAGAAUGCAGAGUUUUAAAAUUGGCACCAAUGCUUCAAGACACUGUCCACGUGCCGCUUUGCUGGACUCUUACAUGGGCCUCGGAGAUGUGAGUCCACCCUGUCUCGCCCUGAGUGGUGUGGCAAACAGGGCUUUGGGCCAGGAUUCAGGCAGGAGCUGAAGUGAUUGGUGACCUGACGUCUUGUGCGUGCCAUGUGAUGGUCUGUAGCUCUUUUCCGAUUUGCUAGUUCAUUUGGUCCUCAUGCUGCCUGCGAGGCACAGUCGCUGCAGCUGAGCCACAGCCUUGCCAAGAUCCACUUAUACCUGCUGAGUUGGGGUCCCCCACCUAAGUCCCCUGACUCCAGAGGUCAUUUCCUUGGGUUUUAGUUGUUGUUCUACUGACCAGUGGGCCAGGGCCAGGGCAUGGCCUUGGGCAGCUGACUUGAUCUCUGUAGGUAGAAGAUCGCUUUCCUCUACACCAAAUGGGGAAGGGAGCCUCAGAAUGUCCAGCUUCUCCUGUUCUCAGAUUCUUUUGGCUUCUUGGAGCUCUUGGGAAACCUGGCGUGCACUCCUUGGCCAGGAAGCCAGCCAUUCCCCAUGUGUUUCUGGUGAGACUGCCUACGUUUGGAAGCUUCUGGGAUUAUGCAGUGCUUCUCAAACCAUUCUGACACAUUUGUAGGGCAUUUCGUGCACGUGCAUAUAGUCCUGUCUCUAGUCCUGAGCUAGACUUCUGGUGUAGCUCACUUAGAAAUAAGGCUUUCUUGUCGGAUCUGGGAGAUUUUUCCCAGCAGGCCGAUAAGGGAGGCCCAGAGCUUUGCCGAGCCUGAGGGUUGUGUGACUGUUCUCUCUGCUGGCUAAUCAGCCCCCGCUGGAAGUAUUGGCUAAGGGACAGUGUGAGAUACUGGAACCACUGGCUUCAGCUCUGGCUGUUGCUUCCUGACAGAGUUGAAAAAGUAGGCCUUACCCAUGGAGAGGAAGGAAAGUCAGAGAACGCCUAGACGUCCGUGUUCCCGGAUCCUGCGUGUAAGCCCGCUCUCUAUGAGGGGGGGCCAAGGCACAGCUCAUACUGGUUGUCUUCUUGUCCGUGUGGCCCUCUGAGUGGCCUUUGCUCAGAGAGACCCAGAGCCUAUAUGAAGGGGCAGAGAAGUGUUUGUCUUUCUUUAGAGCGCACUAACACAGGAUGGUUUAGGUUCUGCCUGGGCAUGAAUCCGAAGGAUUGGGGCUGGACAGAGGGGCAGUGUGCAUACGUCUGUCUGUUUGUAUUCCUCAGAUGCAGCCUUGCUCACAGAGAGGCCGUAUCAUGGGAAAUCCACAGGGCAGUGGUUUUGCUGGACAAAGCUUCUGAUAACUACUGUGUGAAGAUUUGUUGUAUGGCAUCCAGAACUUUCUGUUCUCCCGGAGGGUGGGAAGGAGGGUGGCAGAACCCAAAGCUGGGAGGUGAUCUAGAGCAGACUUCAGGGAGAACUGUGGUGGCCCUUUGCUGAGGCCUCCCAAAGAAACACAGAGCCUCUUUAUCUGAGAAGAGAGACUGGAUGUCCCUGACAAGGUCCCUCCCGAGUCCCUCCCGAGUCUGUGGGGCUCUGAGACUAUCCCUAGAACAGCAUGAGCUUUGGGUGCCAGGACCUAGAGAGGGCUCCGUUUUUUCUUUCUGCCUCGGAGGCCAGCCUGACCUGGGUCGGGGCACAGGAGCAUUGGGCCUGCAGUUGUACCUUUGUUUCCUCAUGCAGACAGAACUUCUGGAACUGACCCUCUAGGACUAAUACUAUUUGUAAAUAAAAAAAGAGGAGAUAGCCAGGUUGUCCCCCAUUGCUAUCUGGGAAGAGCCCUGAGCUGCUCUAAACCUGUAUUUGAACCGCUGCCGCCCCCCGCCCCGUGCUGCUUCCCCCAGCCCUAGGGAGCUUCCAGAGAAGGCCCUGGAGAGGUGAAGGAGUGGGGGCUAGGCCAGGAGGCAGGGCCAGACAGAGUUUGCUGGGAAGAGGGUCGGAGGUGGAAGAAGGAGGGUCUCAGGGCAGGUCCACGGCUCUGGGACCUGUGAAGCCGCCUGCCACGCCAGAGGCACACACAUGUGCCCCCAUGGGCUACUGUUUAUUGGGAACCCUGAAGUCAGAAAUGAACCAGGUAAUGGCUGAACGAGGGUUAUUUUCAUGGGGAUAAUCGUAUAUCCUUUUGUGUUAUUCCUGUCUGCAGAUUUAGCAUCUGAAGGCCUGACGGGUUGAGGACAUUUCCCUGGGCCCUCCUGUCUGUAAGAUCAUGCUUAUUUUAUGUUGACUUUCUGUCCCCUCUCCGUCCUGUCUCCUGCUCUCACACAGUCCUUAGGAACACCUGAGUGUCUGUCCGCACACUUGUGUUCCUGUCUCCUGGGGGUACCGUUCUUCCAGGCUCUGACAACAUUGACUGUAUUACUUUCCUUCCUCGUGUGAACAGACCGCAGGCUCGCUGCAGAGGGGAGCCGUCUCUGAGAUGGGGCAGCCAUCCCCACAAACCUCCUUCCCACCUCAUCCUCGAGCAGGCCAUCGGGAGCCCCGGGGAGAUGCGAUCAAGGCCCCUCAGCUGGGCCCAGCCCGGCCCCCCCAUCAUGCUUCCUCUUUGGGGGCGGUGGCGGCUCAGGCAUGACUCCCCCACCCCCAACACUGUUAGCUCUUUCUUCUUCUCCGCUUGAACCCUGAGUAGCGACCUUGAAGGUCUGAGACCACGUGUCACCCUGCUGGGUGAGGAUGACCUAGAGGGACAGGGACAGAGGGGAAGGGAACCCAUGCUCCUGGCCACUUGGCCUCUCUCCAAGACAGGUGAACUCUGUGUCCAGAGAGGAACUCAUUUAAUCUUUUGGCCCUAAUGAAAGUUGUUUGUAUUUUCUCUCCUUCACCCUUCUCCCUCCUCUUUCUCCCUCAACGCCCCCGCCUCCGCCCUCCAGCCUCCAAAAGAAUUUAAUCUGCUGGACAACAAACAAUACUGUUAUAAAACUUUGAAAACAAGAGGGUGAGGCCUCCCUGACAAGGAGAAGGGCAUGCCGGGUAACAGCCGCGGGAGCCUGCCAGGCCCAGGACGGAGCCGGGCGAGGGCCCAGUUGGCCGGGUACCUGGGCGCCUGCCCCUGCCCAGCCCACCAGCCGAGCCAUCCCCAGUCCAGAGGGGAAGGAACCGAAACAAAAGCAGGGGCAGAGAAGCUCCCCAAAAGGGGAAGUUGUAUGUGUUCCCCUCUCUCUGAUCUGAUGGGAGUGCGCUAGACUGUGAAACUCCCCCCCCCCCCCCCCCCGCCCAUUCCGGUCCUCCCUCCCCCUUCGCCCUCCCUCUGCCUACCUCCUCUCACCACUGACUGUUCCAGGUCCUGAGACUGGCGGGCCAGGCCCCAGAACAGAACAAGGCUGGCCUGCGGUGCAGGUGCAGACCCCCGCCAGCUGGCGGCAGGAGAGGAAAGCAGGAAAGGUGCCCCCGGUUGGCUUUGGACUCUGGACAUACCCUCUGUGUGCCCAGGCUUUCUGCCCCCAGCUAGGAAAGUGGAACCAUGUUACAGGUUGUGGCCUGGCCCCGGUGCUGCACCAGCUAUGUACCCCAGUAUCGGGUAGAGCCACCACUCGGCUCGUCGGUCUGUCCCCAGCGGCCUGAUGCCUUUGAGGGCCCAUGCUCCAGGGAGGCUGUGGGUCCUGGGGCCUGUGGCAGGGGGCCUGCUCUCCCUCCAGGAGGAGCAGGGGCUGAGCUAGGGAGCCCUGGAGCCCCAGAGACAUGCUGCCGGCAGCAGGCAGCCACAGGGUCCUGUGAGUGGGGGUAGCUGGUGGGGUGCCGCGUCUGCUAGUUACUCUUGGCUGUCGAAGGAGUGGGUGACCCAGCUCCACUUGGGGGAGGGAGAAGCUGGGCUCUAGCCCAUCUCUCUCCAGCCUUCCCAGUUAGAUUUCACCUGAGACUGAAAUUUCCCUGCCACAUCCGUCUUCCCUGCUUGGAGUACUGCUUGGGAGUGAUGAGGGGGAAGGAGCAGUGGUCUGCCUUCAGCUGGGGGUUGUUUGGACUUGUGAACCGUGGGGUGGGCGUUGUGUCUGUGUAACGGGCUGUAGGCAUGCUCGCUUUUCCUCGUGUGGAAGCAGUUCAGGGCUGGGCCGAUCGUCCUCUGCCUGAGCUGAGCCACUCUCUGCGGAAACAUGGGGACCUGCUGCCCCCCACACCCCACAGCUUCCCAAGGCAUCCCAUCCUUACAGCCGGCUGGCCAUUCCAACCUCGGGCCUGUACUGAAUCUGGGAGAUUUCCAGGUGCAGGUCUUCAUCGAUGGUGUCCAGGAAGGGACAGAGAACCGAAUUUUGCGGAAGGCAGCCACCUGGGCACUUAGGCCUUUGAACGCCUGCCCCAGGGAAAACCAGAGUUGGUGAGGCUGGGUCCGCAUGAGCAGAGAAGGCUGUGACCUCUUGCCCUGUGACCUCCACAGACAUUGGAGGGGCUCCGUGGGUCUCGAGUGUGCCGUUCCCACUUCAGGAUCCAGGCUCUGGAAAGUGCACUGAUCCCCAGAUGCUGAGCAGUCCUUUUGGGGGGCUGAGCAGGCAGCUCAGCAGCAGGCUCCUUGUUCUCCUCUUCCCCGGCCCUCCAUACACAGACCCUUCAUUUUAUCACCCUUUCCUCUGAUUCAUUAACCACAGCUAGUUGGCACCAGGCCCUACCCUGACAGCUCAAGACAAAAUGUCCAGGACACUGGGUCUGGCCUGGGGCCGAGGGACAGGAAGCUGGGCCCUUGUCACAUACAAUGGGCUAGGACCGUCCUGGGGGGCAGAACAGGCCCUAUCUUCAAAAGGGUCUAACCUCCUAGGUCCCUCUCUCACCAAAAUGACUCUCCCUCACUGCCAGGAGCCUCGGAACCAGCAUUCUGGGAGGCGGGAAGACUGCCGAGCUGGGCCCGGCUUCCGCUGCCCCUCCCCCCGCGCUGGCUGGAGCUGGCGUCAGUCACACAAAACACAGCCUCUCCGGGUCCCUGUUCCUGCCGCGCAUGCCGCUGCUCCUUCUGUCCUAGUUCCUGUCCCAGCCCUGGAGCAUUUGAAUGCACUGACACCAGGCCUCGGGAGCCCUCCUGCUUUUCAGAACUGUGGUCCAUUCCGGGGAAGUGCAGGCCCCUGCUCUCAGAGUCUGGGCUGAGCAGGAAUUAAAGCCACUGUGUUCUGAUUCACUGUGUGGUGACCUUUCCUCCACCCUCGGUCCCUGCCCAGGCAGAGGAGCGUCCUAGGCAGGAGGGCGUGGAAAAACCUCCACAUAGAAUGUCUGCCCAGAAAUGGAUGGAGGCCUCAGUGGGCUGCCCAAACCCUCUUCUCGCAUGGUGGCACCUCCCCAAACUGACAUACCCACCCCCCCACCCCCACCCCCCGCUGGGCGGUUUUCCUACCGGACAGCGCACCAAACCCUUCCCACUAGCCAGUUUGCAUGGGGCCAUUAGGCCAGGCCGAGUCCCUGCAGGCUGGGGCUUCGACGGGCUGCCUUCCUGCAGAUCGAGGUGGCCAUGGAGCUGGGUGCCAGGGAGCCCAAGCCCCUUCCAGCCCCCAUCCAACCACCCCGCUAUACCCAGCUCAGCAACGAAAACACCAGCUGGCUUCAGGUGAGUGAGUCAUUGCUUGGCAGACUUCGUGAGAGAAGCCUGGUUCUUUUGGGAAGGCUGAGACCUGCAUAGACUCUUGUAUCUAGUGGGGUUGGAGGAGCAGAGGGUUUUGGUACUAAGAUUACUUUCUUUCCCUCUUCUUGUGUUAGAGUGUUUAUGAUGAUGUGUUCUGAAUGAUGGCUGUCUUUCUCCAGAGAACUGAAUAUCAUAGAACUCGGGCACUGGGAGCCCAAACUCCCAAACUAAGGUCGUGGUCCUUAGUUCCCUCAGGGACAGUUGGUCCUCUGCCAUGCCCUCCCGCCCCGAACUCUGGCCUGAUGCUCCCUGGGUAGCAGGAGAGACAGUCAUUAAUCACCCUGAUGACCACGUGACAUCUGUGUGUCUGAAGGACAAGAACUAGGUGCUGUGAGAGGGUGUGACAGAAUGCUUGGCUCACCUGGGAAAGCUUCAGGCGACCUGUGUUACCUGGGGGGGGGGGGGGGGGGGUUGAUGGGUGGUUGCUCUGGGAGGGUAGACAGAGAAUGUUCCAGAAAGAGGGAGCAAUGUAUGCAGAGGCCUGUUGGGGGAGGACAGGGGCCGUCUGGAUGACUGAAAAACACCUGUGUGACAACAUGCUGGGAAAAGUUCUGUGGAUAUUGGCAGUUGGAAGUGGCUAAGAAGGAAGAGUCCACCUGGGGUCAGAGGCAGAAAAGUUGAGAAGGACCAAAUGUAGAGCUCCAACUCCCUCAUGUUAUAGGACCCCAUGAAAAUGACUAUCGUUUAUCAGUAACUUCCUGACCUUACAGCCCUGCAAGUUACCUGCUUUCUGAGGCCCAGCUGUUGACUGCAGGCGUCCUUGAUCACAGCUGCUGCCCUGCUUCCUAUCAGUGGCUGAGGCCAUGCAAAGGCCCUGGGCUCUGAGCCCAGUGCUGGGGUCAGAAUCUGGAGUCCAGCACAGGCAUCAUGGGCAGUUCCUCUCCAGCGCCUUCCCCUGCCACAGCCAUGCUGUGCGUGCGGGAGGACACAGGAGGCCAGCUCCCAGCACCGGGACCCCUGCAGAACGAGGGGGCCUGUCUCACCCCAAGUUAAACAUGUUGUCAGUCACAUCCAUGGCCGUGUAUAAACAUUGCCUAGGACUGCCCCCCCCAACCCCGCCUCAACCUUGCUCACAGUUGAGUUCAAGAACAGAAUGAGACUAUGGACCAGCCUGGAGCAGGCACAGUAGGCCCAGGGGCAGUAACACAGACUGUGGGGUUAGAUCUGGGAUCUGCACCAUGUGUUGGUCACAUGGCCGUGGGCGAGUUACUAAAGCAUAAGGAGCAUUUUCUCCAGCAAGCGUGGGAACAGUACAUGCUUCCCGGGACUGACAUGGUUAAACCACACACCUCAGUGUUCAAAUUUUAUUUCCUCCUCUUUCCUGGAGCAGUGCAUGCUGUUAUUUCCAGGAGCUACAAUAAAUACAGGCCUGUCUCUACCACGGAGCUGGUAGCCGGAAAGGUACAGAUUCCACUCUCUAUUUCCUUGGUUGUGCUGUCCCAGGAAAAUACACAUUUUCUCAGCUUCAAACAACCAGAAACAGCCCAUUUAGGAGAUGAGAAAUCUAAUUUGAAGACGAUGCAAGUCUUAUUUUUCAGACAAAUUCAGAAAACACACACACACACACACAACUCUGUUCUCCUGUUAGAGGAUUAUCUACUUAACACAGCUUUAGAACAUCACAUUUUUUUGUGUCAGGGCUGAGAAUAAGUAAGAUUGCCAAUGUUCUGAGCCUUACGUAAGGCCGGGAAGGAGGAGCCUGAGCUCUUUCUGAGGAGGGCGCAUGGAAGGGCUGCCCAGGGCCAGUGAAACCCCCCUCUGCUACUGGCUAGAGCAUGCUGGGCAGACAGGGGGCUUGUUUCCUGAUGACGUGAGAUAGGAUCGGAAAGCCCUUUGCGCACUGUGAAAUAUUUAAUACAGCAGGACGGUGCUAAUGAAGCUAUGAGUGCAUUUUAAUAAUAGCUCUGGGAGAUUUGAUUUUAUCCUAUAGCUAAUACUCUGUUAGGACCCGUUGUGUAAUUAAACUGCAUUAACUAGACUUCGUGAGUUGUGUAUGGCCACGGGGUGUGUGAAGCCUCGCCGAGCUGUCAGCCCUCCUGCAGCAUCCCUGGGGAGCUCUUUGCUGGGCCUUUCUCACGGAUGGAGACGUCACGUCCGAAGUGGAACCACAAGAAGACCUCCCUCCCUCCUCCGGGCAGAGCCUGGGGCUUCCGAUGUCAUCUUCCUCCUUUCUUCAAUGAGAUCCUCUUCUUCUGGAAGCUGGUUUCACAUGGUGGCUUAGAUUUUUCCAUCUUUGUAUCUAGCACCAUUUGAAAUCAGUGUUUUAGGAGUAAGAAUUGCAGCGCAGCGAAGGGCCACCUGCAAAGGAGCCUCCUCGGGUGGGACAGGCGCCCUCCGCCUGCCACCUGAGCCAGCUCAAGGAAGGAAGACCUUACAGAGGAGGAGGCACCCUCGUGUAUGUGGGCUAGGCUGGGGUGACAGCGCGGGGCGGGUGUGGUGCUUAAAAAAACUCCGCAUCUGAGCAGGGGCAGACAGGUGCCGGCUCCUAGCAGACUCCGGGGCUCACCUGCCCUUUGGGCUUUGGAGCACAGAGGUGGGGCCAUGCUCCAUGCGGGGGGGUCGGGAGGGCUCGAUUGUACCAGGGGAGGGGCGAGGCUGUGUACCCGGAGGACAGUCCCAUCAGCGUCAGCACUGCGCCUGCUCCAGACGCCCCGGAACGUUCUGCUGCUGUGGCACUGCAGCUGGAAUCAGACUUGCCACCUGCACGGUUAAGUGCGGGACCCCCGGGAGCACCGACGGACCCAUCUCUUACACAGGCUGACCGAUUUCUCCUGGUGUUCAGAGUCUGUUUUUGUCUAGCACCAUUUGAAAUCGGUUAUGAUGUAGGGGGAAAAGCAGCGGCCCCGAAGCCUCGUGCCGGCUCUGGGGAGCCACCGCCUGCGGUUUCCUGGAGGAUGGACGGGCAGAGAGCGCGCAAGAACGACCGCGCGCCGUUUCCCCUAACUUCUUUAACUGCAUUUAUGAUCCCUUGCUGCAGAGGUAAGAGAGAACCGAAUGUAUUUUGAGAAAUGGCUGUGCUGUAUCUGCUGUCCGGGUUGCAUGGUGCUGGAAGGUGGUAGGUGCCGCCCGUGCGGUCCGUGGUUGCUGUUGAAUUCUCCUUCUGUGACGGGUCUGCUGGUGCUCCUGCCUGAAUAAAUAUUUCCCUCUAGUCGAGUCAUCACGUCUCUGUUUUUUAUCUGUCAUUCCCUCUCCAUACUUCCGUGAUAAGUGGGGUCCGUGUAGGUUUCGCCACUUCCUAAGCGUUUGAGAAGGCAGCCCGUUAGGACAAGGAUGGAAUUCUGUGAGCCAAGAAACAUAAACGAGAGAAAAGAUCCCAGAACAGAGAUGUUCCAGUCUGGGCCGAGGGAUGUUGCUCACGGAAGGGGAAGCCAAGGCUGGUUCCCAACGGGCCCGAGCCCUGGCACCUCGGUGGCCCGUGAUCCUUUGAGAAAUUUUGCGGAACUGAACACCCUUGUCCCACGGCUGGUAAAGGAGAGCACUGAGGACUCCCCUUACUUAACAAAAGACGCGGGAGGUCUACUACUGGUGCGCAGUCUCCGUGAACCCUUGAAGACAGGGUGAACCUGUUCUGGAAAGGUAUUCAAAAGACUAGGCAGAUUUGACUUCAUGGGGGGUGAGACCUGGGGAAUCUGCAGGUCAGAGGGCUGUGACCCCUCAAGCGAGGGUUUUGCACCAGACCCAUGGGGCCGCCUGUGAGCUGCCUGCAGCACCUGCCUUUCAUGCCUGCGGUUCACGAGAAGUGGUGGCAACUCUACUGCCGGGGGGAAGGUUUCCCAAGUCUGCACCCCCAGAUGGUUGCCGCGCCUGGUGGGGUGGGGAUGGGGGGUGGUGCAGCCUCUGCCGGGAACCCUGCCCGGGGGAACGUGCCACACCCCCUCACUGCAGCUGCCGUGCUAUUUAGGGCUGUUGAGUGAAGAAUCUAUGUGCUCGUCCCCAGGAUGGGAUGGUGAGAAUCGUUAGGACCCAAGAUUGUUUUACUCCCUUUUUGGCUAAGCUAGAUACACUAAGACCUGUGUAUGGCGCAAUGGCCACAAUUCAGCCAGCGUUCGGUUCCUCUCCCGUGUCCCAAGCCCCAGCCUCAGUAUUCCACGUGGAACGAAUAGACAACAUGGAUUCUGGUCCCCAAAUGCUCUCUAGAAAUGCUAGAAAAUCAAGUUUCGGAUCCAAGCACAAAAACCAUAACUUGAGACCUCUUUUCUGUAAAGGUGAUGGAGUCCUUCAACGGUGCCACACUGCUAGGUCAUGAGAAGCAAAACACAUGUCCCACAUGACCAGGGUGCCUCACAGAGGAUCCAUUAGCUUUAUUCAACGAGAUGCUUCAGCUCUUUACUGAAAAUUGCCAUCUCAAGGUGGUAUUCGUAACAAUUCGGUAAGCAUAAUGUUUCUUCUGGAGACAUCUUGAACCUAGUGUUUGGGGCCAUGCUCUCCACUUAGAAAGUGCCAGGUCAGACAUGAGUCCCCAUAACCACCUCUUCUUUUGUUUGUUUGUUUUAUCAUCUCUUUAGCUGUGGGUGUGUAGGUGGAGAGGGAGGACUGGGCAGAAGCUUCACGUACUUUGUAAACUGGCACACACUUCCCGUCUGUGGAAAUGAGUGCCACUGAUACAAAUCCAAUCUGACCAAUUUAGGCAAGACAGAAUGUGUUAAGUCGUGUCCCUGUUAAUUCCUGUAAGGUGUUGGCCCUGGCCUGCGAGGAGGAGCUGGCAUAUGGUGCCAGGGGCUACCUCGAAGACUAGGCUGUCCAUACAUGGGGCAAGCUUAAGGGCUUUCCUUGAACACAAGAGAAGUUACAAUUUGGGUUUAUUCUUAGUCAGUAGUACCCCACACACUAUAACUUCUAAACAGACUCACCAGGAGCCUUUCAAUGAGUGAUUCUUAGAUUCCCCUCCAUAUGGGCUCUGGCUAUACCAUUCCAGGAUCGGACCUACAUUUUUGUUCUGGUUUCCCCAGGUGACUCUCAGGUGCAGCCACUGUCGACAACCCCCUCACUGUGGUCUUGCUUUCCUACUCAAAUGGUGCUGCGAGGACCCCUAGCGCAGGAAUGACAGCAAGGACGGGAACCUCUGAAUCAUGACCUCGUUGGAAGGACUUGGGGACUGUCCUACGCCCGGAGCCUCCACUGGAGGGCAGCAGAGCUCCGCCGUAGAAAGAGGGACCGCUUCAGUUUAGUGCAAACUUUGGUGAUGAACCUGGAAAUAAUGAAAGCAAUAUACCCUAGGUGGAAAAAACAAACAAAAGUGUGUGCAUGGGCACUCAAUUUUGCAUCGUUUCAGGAAGUCAGUACUAUGUUAAAUUCUGGUCUUGAAGAGUAAUAUGCAAACGCUUAAAAUGUGUGAGGAAGUUCAUUCUUGGUUGCAGCCUAGCUAUCACGCAUUACUAAAUUUUAGAAUACUGGAGUUGCCUGUUUUCCUUAAACCAAGACUAUUCUUUAACAAUUCCAGCUUAUCCCAUGUCACUGCAGCACUCCCACAGAAUACUUUGUUAGAAAUCUUAACUUUCCUACAUUUGAUGCCAGUUUAAAAAAUACAUUAUAAUCUCAAGGUCCAAUAAAAUCUGUAAAAUAUUUUCCUUAUUUAUAGACAACCUAAUUUAUAUCAAGUGUUGAUAUUGUAAAGAUUGCUUCAGUUUCUGGUUUGCUCCAGAGCCUUGUUUGGUUAGCCAGGUAAUAAGACCUUAAGUCUUAAUAUAUUUUGUAAUUUAUUAAAUAGACUGAAUUAAUAAAACUCUAAUUUUCUUUUAUAAAAAAGUAAGCUUUACUUUGCCAUUGUACAUUUAUAAAUCACUAAUGCAGAAGUUCCUAACUUUAGCUGUAUAUUAGAAUCACUUGGGAGGCUUAAAAAAAAUCCCUAUGCCCAGGCCCCACCCCAGGUGACUUAUAUAAGAAAGCCCAGGGGGCUGGUACCUCAUGCGAUUCCCUGUGCAACAUAGUGCAAAACACUGAGACCUGAUCCCAAACAUUUAACACUCUGAGUUUAUUCAAAUCUGCAAAAUGACCAGGAAGUUUUCUGCAUACACAAAAGCAAACCCCCUUAUUAGUUACACAAAUCAAAUUUUAUACUUUCAUUGCUGGGACUUGGGCUUUUCUGUACUUGACCACACCCAUGCACUCCAGUGAUGAGGAAGGCGCGUCUCCUUCCCAGAGGCAGGGAUACAGAGGUGGUGUGUAGUGAAGCUGGGCAAUCACAAAGGCUGAUUUGGGAGAUCACAGAGGCUGAGAGCUGGGCGAAUCAGGAAAAGCUUCAGUGGGUGGGCAGUGGGAGCUGAGCCUUGGAAGAUGCCCAGGACCUGGCGGGACCAUGAGGGCUCCGGGCGGCUGUGAACCAAGAACUCAGCAGAGCACUUGGGGCGCACGGUCUGCUUGGCGGAUGCAGCUUAUUUGAAGUACAUGGAGCAGCAGGAGGAGAAAUCUUAGGAAGAAAACCUGGGACUUAAUCAUAGGAAGCCUUCAGGGAGCACAUGAAGCAACUUGGGACUUGAUGCUGUAGGUCACGUGCUGUGGCUGAACACCUCCGAGCAGGAGUGGGAUGCUAAGGGAAGCUGGGCCCCAGGGGCAAGCACAUGUCCUCUGAGAUCAAGCACGCUGGAAAUAACAUAUCAUCACACGGGAAAAGUCUCCAAUCUACACUUUAUUUUUUGCAGCAUUUGAAGAUCCAGAUUUCAAAACAAUGAGCAAUAAAGAUCCGACACAUGGGACGUCUCAUUUCACUGCAAAUACAUUCUUACAGUUUCAGCAAACUUGUAAAUUUACAUACACGUUUUUAUGUCAUUACAGAAACUUUCUGUUUUCCCCUUAUGUUAGGUGAUUGACAAGUUGCCUGACAAAGAGCGUAAUUUAUUUUUACACAUAUAUAACAAUUUCCAUAUAAAUCUACUAAAAUGAAAAUUAAAUCUGA